GGGCAUAUAGCUCAGUGGUAGAGCACGUGCUUAGCAUGCACGAUGUCCGGGGUUCAAUCCCCAGCACCUCCA
rnacentral:tRNA from 1 species